UACGUAGGGGGCAAGCGUUGUCCGGAUUUAUUGGGCGUAAAGAGCGUGUAGGCGGCCAGGUAGGUCUGCUGUGAAAACUCGAGGCUUAACCUCGAGAUGUCGGCGGAAACCAUCUGGCUAGAGUCCGGAAGAGGAGAAUGGAAUUCCCGGUGUAGCGGUGAAAUGCGCAGAUAUCGGGAAGAACACCCGUGGCAAAGGCGGUUCUCUGGGACGGUACUGACGCUGAGACGCGAAAGCGUGGGGAGCGAACAGG
rnacentral:rRNA from 1 species